UGGGGAAUCUUGCGCAAUGGGCGAAAGCCUGACGCAGCGACGCCGCGUGAGUGAUGAAGGCCUUCGGGUUGUAAAGCUCUGUGGGGAGGGACGAAUAAGGGUUGGCGAAUACCCAGCUCGAUGACGGUACCUUCUUAGCAAGCACCGGCUAACUCUGUGCCAGCAGCCGCGGUAAGACAGAGGGUGCAAACGUUGUUCGGAAUUACUGGGCGUAAAGCGCGUGUAGGCGGCUUGGAAAGUCGGAUGUGAAAGCCCUGGGCUCAACCUAGGAAGUGCAUUCGAAACUUCCAAGCUGGAGUUCUGGAGAGGAAGGCGGAAUUCUCGGUGUAGAGGUGAAAUUCGUAGAUAUCGAGAGGAACACCGGUGGCGAAGGCGGCCUUCUGGACAGCAACUGACGCUGAGACGCGAAAGCGUGGGGAGCAAACAGG
rnacentral:rRNA from 1 species